CCUACGGGGUGCAGCAGUGAGGAAUAUUGGUCAAUGGGCGCUAGCCUGAACCAGCCAAGUAGCGUGAAGGAUGACUGCCCUACGGGUUGUAAACUUCUUUUAUAUUGGAAUAAAGUGCGGUAUGUGUGCCUCUUUGUAUGUACUUUAUGAAUAAGGAUCGGCUAACUCCGUGCCAGCAGCCGCGGUAAUACGGAGGAUCCGAGCGUUAUCCGGAUUUAUUGGGUUUAAAGGGAGCGUAGAUGGGUUGUUAAGUCAGUUGUGAAAGUUUGCGGCUCAACCGUAAAAUUGCAAUUGAUACUGGCAGUCUUGAGUACAGUAGAGGUAGGCGGAAUUCGUGGUGUAGCGGUGAAAUGCUUAGAUAUCACGAAGAACUCCGAUUGCGAAGGCAGCUUGCUAGACUGCAACUGACGUUGAUGCUCGAAAGUGUGGGUAUCAAACAGGAUUAGAUACCCCGGUAGUC
rnacentral:rRNA from 1 species